GCCUGGGUGGCUCAGUUGGUUGAGCGUCUGACUUCGGCUCAGGUCAUGAUCUCACAGUUCGUGAGUUCCGGCCCCACAUCGGGCU
rfam:Felis catus isolate Cinnamon breed Abyssinian chromosome C1, whole genome shotgun sequence.